CGCCAUCCACCGCCGCCGCUCACCAUCCGCACCCGCUGCCGCCGCUCGCCCGCAGCUGCCGCGCCGCCCCUCUCCUCCUCCGCAUCGACCCCGCGCCGCCCCUCGCGCACCUCGCGUCGACCCCGUGCCGCCUCUCUCCUCCGCAUUGAUGCCUCGCGCCCCUCGCCCCUCGCGUUGACUCCGCGCCGCCCCUCUCCUCCUCCGCAUCGACGCCGCGCCGUCCCUCGCGUCGACCCCACGCCGCCCCUCUCCUCCUCCGCAUCGACUCCACGCCGGACGCCGCAAUGGCCCGCCGGCGCUAGGUUCGAUCCCCUCGACCGCCCGAUGCCGCCGGUGAGCCCCUACAACGAAUUGUGUUUGUACUGGUCCGUAAGAUGUCGUAUUCAAUUAGCCACUGGAAGGACCCAUCGCGUGAAGAACGGAGCUGCCGUAGUUUGGUAUUUGACCGCCAGCUGCUGCCGAUUCCGCCGUUGUUCGUCGUCGGUGAGCGCCCCGCCCGUCCCCCGUUCUCUCCCAUCUUCCAUUCGCUGCUAGCGACGGCGUGACCCAGAUGGUCGAGCCAUGUCCAAAGCAAACCAUUGUUCCUUGCAAACCUUGCAGAUAACCCGAUGCAUACCAUAGUUCCCCAAUAUUCUCGUGAGAUUUGGCAUAAUUAUUAUAUGUUGCAAACCUUGCAGAUAACCUGAUGCAAAUUGUAGUUCCUAGCAAUAAAAACCAGUGGAAGCCUUAUGUUAUUUUGUUCGUAUUGAUCAUCCCUUGCAGAUAAUCUCCUCCAUGGCAGGCAGCUCACUCAUCAUCCCUUCAGCCUGCAAUUUUGUUCAUAUAUAUGUGCGUUUCAAUGGAGAAUUUGUUUGGUGAUACAAGUGAUACAACCUAUAUGUGCACUUAUGUUUCCCUGUGUACAUUUAACCGUGUAAUGUGUUGAAAUGCAUUUAAGUAUUAUCUAUAAUGAAUACAACCGAACCUUGUGUUUUUUUGAUCCAUCUUGUAUAACCAUUAUACUGAAUUUUUAUUCGACGUGCCUGAUUUUUGCUCUCAUUACUUGCAGUGGCGCUAGUUCACUACUCACUCAUGCUUUGUUUUCUGCAUUGAAUACAUGAUUUGGAAUGACUUGCUUCCUCUCCUCUCAGUUUAUCUCUCACCUGUAUACAAAGAGCGGAUGAGUGAGCUGGAUUAUGUCAGUUUACAGCCUGAGCUCCCAUGAAGAUCAUGGAGCUCAUUGCCAGAGGCCCAGAGCCAUCAUCAGCUGUCUUUAACCUGCUGAAUCUUUUCCUACAAAGUAUGUUUAUAUCUGAACUUUAUUCAUCUGCCUGCAGCUCCCAGAUCACACCUUUGCAAACAGAAAAGGUCAAUGACAUUCGGAUGUAUCACUGGCUGGUGCGCCAUUGAUCAGCUCACACUGGAUAUAUUCCAUUACCAGAAUAAAUGCCUUACUGAUGCCCCCCAGCGAUAAGAGGAUACAUAGCUUGGGACUAGAUGAAGUGAACUAUCUUUGAUGUCUUGCUGAUUUCUGGAAUGUACUGUGGGGUUGCUGCUGCUUCUGUAGCUGGAAACGCUGGCCACAUGCUCGACCAGUUAAUGUACAAUGGUGUGUUUGUGACACGUCACUAUGACAAUGGAUAGAGGUUGAUGAAUUAAACUAAGAAGUGGGAAAACUUGCUGAUGUUUUCCUCAAGCAGUUAGCAGUCCAAGAUUUAGUGAUAGCAGGGAGCAACCAGUUUGGUUUUGUUCUUAGGGCUGAUAAUAGUCCAGCAGCCCGUUCAGAUUGUCAACACUACAGUAUAGCGACAGCUGGAGAUGCACCAUAGUGUCACUACGGUGCUGAAGUACCUAGUCAUUUACGUGCAUAGGCCGUGUGAGGAGUGUAUUCCUGCACUCGAAUUUCUGAUUUUGUUGUAAUUAUGAGUGCACACAUUCGACAUUCUAGGUGUAGAGGUUAUGAUCUUUUCUAAUUUGCAGGAUAGUGUGGUAUGUACUCAUUUCAACUCAUUCUGACAAGGUCAACAUGAAGUUUGAGUUUGCAAUGUUUUUGCAAUGACAAAUGUCAUUAUUUUUUA